rnacentral:lncRNA from 1 species
AGAAGGAAAAUGGGAAAGGGUGCGGUGAUGAUUCUGGUUUUUUCAUUAGUACUUAUUUUAUCAAUACGCUCCGUUUUGGGUGAUGAGACCGCCAUGGAUCAUGUGGAAGAGGUUGCCUCCGACGUCAAAGAAGCUGCCAAUAACUUCAAAGAGUCCGCCGGAGAUGCAUACGACGAUACCAAGUCAUGGGCUGAAUGGGCCACAGACAAAAUUAAGUUAGUUUUCUCUUAUCUACUAAUUAUAUUUUACCACAAAAAAUUUAAUAAUAAUAACAAAAAUAAAGAAUUUUUCUAUACUUCUGUCUUUUUUCUAAGAUAUUAACUUAGAGGUGUCAAAUUCACUCUCUACAAUUUUGGUCGUGUUAUUUUGAUAACCUUUUUUUUUUUUUUUAAUAAAUUUAGAGUUAAAAUCCUACCAUGUAACACGUUAAAAAAAUUAUGAAAUAGUAAUUUUAAUUAUUUUUAAAAUUAUAAAUAAAAAUAUGUAAAAUAUUUGAGGGUGUGGUGAAUGUAAUAAAUAUUUUUUGUUAAAUGAAUAGUAGCAUAGAAAAUGAUAGAAUUAUCGAAAUGUAUAAAUGUAAGUAGUCAAUAAUUAUCAUAUAAAGUAAAUUUGUAGCUAGAGGAAAAGAGACACUAUUAGAUAUUCAAACAUAAAUUAAAAAAAAAAGUUUAAUUUAUUAGAUAGGUUUUCUUUAUUCUUAAAAAUAGUAGGGUUCUAUUUAGUAUAUGAAAGAAAAAAAUAUAAUUAAUUUAUGGCGUAAAUAUAUAAUAUAUAUCGAGAAAAAUAUUUCUGAAAAAUCAACUUAUUUUCAUCUCUCAUCAUUAUUUUAACUACUAUUUUUUUUUAUAUAUAAUUAUAAGUAUUUAUUUAUAAUGUUUCUAACCCAAUUAUCAUUUAUUUUAUUAUAACUAAUUUUUUUAAUCGUUGUCCAGGAAUAUAAACCUCGGUUUUCACCCUGAGGUAAAUGGACCACCUCCAGAAUUUUAAUCACACACCAAGAAGCAUCACAAUAAUUCACACUGUGUCUUACAA